UAUAAAUUACAUUAAAUAUAAUAUAAUCAAAUAGAACAAAGCUAUUUUCAAGUGCAAUAAUAUUUCACAGUUUUACUGUUUUCCUGUAUUUUGAUUAAAUAAAUGCAGCCUUGGUGAGCAUAAAACAUUGGUGAACACAAAAACAUUAAAUAAAUCCUACUGGCCACAAACUUUUUGGUAGCAUAUAUUGUAUAUUAUUUAAACACAAGUCUUCUGAAGCUAUACAAAAGCAUUGUUUGAGAAACAGACUGAAUUUUAAUUUAGUCACAGUUGUUAACAGCUCACCAGACAUGUGUGUUCGGCACAGUUAUUGUAUCACUUCAGAAGAGUUUUACAUAUAAUAUUCGAGUCACAUAGACUAUUUUAUAAUGCUUUUGUCCAUUCUUCAUUACAGUUUAAUGCUGCUAUUGCUCAAUUGCAUGAAAAAGAACAACCAAUACAUUAUUCAAAAUGUGUUGAAAAUUGCUUCAAGCUGGAAAAUCAGAUGGGUUUUGGGGCUACAUGAGGGUCAAUAAAUGAUGACCGAAUUUUCAAUUUUUGCGGUGAACUAUUCCUUUAAAACCAUGCUCUUCAUUGACGCAUAUCUGAGAGCAUGCCCUUUAGAUUCAGAGGUAAUUGAGGUCGGUGGUAGUGCGCGUGAAAACAGAAGCUCUGCGGCACAUGAAUCUUGGAAUUUUCCUGAACCUUCUCAGGCUUAUCAUCCUCGUUUCCUCUAAUAGGGCAUCCCUCAGUGAUCUCAUCAAAUUGAGAAGCAGAGCAUAUGUAGCUUUUGAGAUGAUUAGCCUGCCAAGCAUUUCAUUAACCCGACCUAAGUGAUUAAAAGGGGCAGAUCCAUUGAUCCCCUUUGUGGUUCAUGCAUUAUUACUUGGAGGCCAUCUUCAUGCAAGAACUCUGAUUUCCCUCCCCUUCAUGUAAGGAUUUGCAGUCACUGACCUUUGCAGAUCUGGAGGUGUUAAGAACGGUUCAUGCAGAACACUGGCACGAGACGAGAGACGUGGUCUAGUCAUGCAUGCCGCUCUGCUUCCCCGACCUUUCAUACCCCCAUCUUACGUCCUUGGCUCUUGUGAGAUCACAGAGAGGUGUGUUCAGCGUCUAGCUUUCACGGAGAGGCCAGAGUCUGGCUGGCAAUAUAAAGAAAGCCGGUGCACUAUAGAUUUUAUGACAAGCAUCCGUUAACCAGUCUUGAAUAAUAGUGGAACCAGAAAUCUUCAGUUCUUUGGAAAUAUUUUCAAAUGUAUGCUCUUUCACUGAUGCUAAGAACAUGCUGAAUCCCAGA